rnacentral:rRNA from 1 species
GACGAACGCUGGCGGCGUGCUUAACACAUGCAAGUCGAACGGAAAGGCCCUGCUUGCAGGGUACUCGAGUGGCGAACGGGUGAGUAACACGUGGGUGAUCUGCCCUGCACUUCGGGAUAAGCCUGGGAAACUGGGUCUAAUACCGGAUAGGAGCCAUUUUUAGUGUGAUGGUUGGAAAGUUUUUUCGGUGUAGGAUGAGCUCGCGGCCUAUCAGCUUGUUGGUGGGGUAAUGGCCUACCAAGGCGGCGACGGGUAGCCGGCCUGAGAGGGUGGACGGCCACAUUGGGACUGGGAUACGGCCCAGACUCCUACGGGUGGCAGAAGUGGGGAAUAUUGCACAAUGGGCGCAAGCCUGAUGCAGCGACGCCGCGUGGGGGAUGACGGCCUUCGGGUUGUAAACUCCUUUCGCUAGGGACGAAGCUUUUUGUGACGGUACCUAGAUAAGAAGCACCGGCUAACUACGUG